CGCGUCGAUUUGAAAAGACAUGAUUUGUACCUGUGUUUGUUGUGUACGAUAUUACUCUUGGUGGAAGUGGACGUAAAACUCCAGGACCGAACUAACCCGUCUUUGUACCUGUCUCAGAUAGCGGAUUUAGUUUGUAAUUACUGAGAUAACUACACACAAGACGAAUAAUUUCAGUUCUCCGAGAAAAAGUGCUGUAGCUAAUAAUGAAGAUUGGCAAAUUUAAAUACACAUUGUUGGUGUUGUUCUUAAUAUGGGCUGUCAACAUUUUAUAUCAUGACAAGUACAGUAAUUGGAAAUUGUUCAGUAAACCGGAUAACACGUUAGCGUCAUCCAAACCGGUCCCAACGUUGACUUUCGCUAAGAAAAGUCUUAUCCAAAACCAAACUUUACCGGAGAUCCGUCUCACUCCAAGGCAGACUUUACCGGAGAUAAGUCUCAUUCCAAGGAAGGCGUUACCGGAGAUAACUCUUGUUAUACGGAUGACGACUAUACCCAGGAUUUUAAAUCUCGUAUAUUGUCAUUUAUUCCCCAGCAUUUCUUUGUACUGGUCAAAACGAUACGGUAAAGUUGCUCUAAUUCUUGAUAAAGAGUCUUCUAAUGACAAAAUAUUUGCUGAGAAGUUAGAAAAACACAAACUUAAAAUGGGUAUAGAUUUUCAGUUUUUCUAUGAAUCAUUGCCCGAAAAUUCAACAGUAAUAAAGCGAAUGCAAAAAAUAAAAUUACGCUAUUUUGGAUAUGUCAUACAAUUGUACUCGAGUUUUUUAAUGGAUAGAUUUAUCAACACCCCGAUAUUAGCGUGGAUUGAUUCCGAUGCAAAGUUCAUAACCCCCGUUGCACCCGAAAACAUCAUGAUAAAUGGAAGAUUGCGUGUUAAAGGACUAAAUACGUUAUCUAUACUCGAUAGUUAUAGUUCAUUUACAAUGCAGAUGCUUUGAAAACCAUUGCCUGGGGAUUUCAUGAGUUAUUUCCCUGUAUACAUAUGGAGAGAUACUAUAACUAACUGUAAUAGACAUAUCUUAAAACAUAUGAACGUUACCACACUGGAAGAGGCAUUCAUAAAAUCUGCAUCGCGUGGUUUACUGAGUCCGGUCUGUGUAAUUUUAACUUAUGCUUUUUAUUUUGAAAGGCAUAGAUACGAUUGGCAUUUUGACAUCGGGCCCCGUGAAAACCUGUCACACUACAACAAAAAGUAUGUACUUCCAGGACACGAAAUUACUUCCGCCGACGUCACGUAUGAUGUGCAUGUAGCGACACAUAACCGGUAUUAUAUCGACCCUAAAAAUGUAAUUAAUCGUCACGGAUAUUGUGCUGCUGUGACUAAUUCCACCAUAUCCAUGAACAAGCAAACAAACCAAAUGUGUCGAAGAUUUAAUGGUGCAGUUUUUUGGACACUUUUCAUACUUCAAGAUUAUAUGAUUAGAUUCUAUGGUUGGUGUCGAAAUCAGAACACGAUGUGUUUGCCUACUGUGAAUGAUCAUUAUAAAAAUGUAAAAAAGUCAAUUCAAGAGGGUUAUUAUACUCUAAAUAUGGGUAAGGUCGAAUAUAUCUAUUCUUUUGCUAAAUCAGAGAAUGUAACUUGUGAGCGUUUUUUCAGAAAUGGGGGGUAGAUCAUUUAUUUGUGAUAUCACAA